rnacentral:rRNA from 1 species
UUUAACGGCCGCGGUAUCCUAACCGUGCAAAGGUAGCGUAAUCACUUGUUCUUUAAAUAGGGACUAGUAUGAACGGCUACAUGAGGGCCCGACUGUCUCCUGCAGCCAAUCAAUGAAACUGAUCUCCCAGUACAAAAGCUGGGCUAAGCACAUAAGACGAGAAGACCCUGUGGAGCUUCAAACAAUUCUUGGCUCAUCCUAUAAAGCCUAACUGACAUAAACUGGAUGAAACCAGAUAGUUUUAAGUUGGGGCGACUGCGGGGAAGAACAAAACCCCCAUGAAAAACAUUAUUUUAAGUCCACACACUGAGAAUAAAAAUUUGAUCCAGUAUAACUGAUUAACGAACCAAGUUACCCCAGGGAUAACAGCGCAAUCUCCUUCAAGAGUCCCUAUCGCCAAGGAGGUUUACGACCUCGAUGUUGGAUCAGGACACCCAGACGGUGUAGCCGCUAUCAAAGGUUCGUUUGUUCAACGAUUAAUAGUCCU